AGUGAACGCUGGCGGUAGGCCUAACACAUGCAAGUCGAACGGCAGCACAGUAAGAGCUUGCUCUUACGGGUGGCGAGUGGCGGACGGGUGAGGAAUACAUCGGAAUCUACUUUUUCGUGGGGGAUAACGUAGGGAAACUUACGCUAAUACAGCAUACGUCCUACGGGUGAAAGCAGUGGAUCUUCGGACCUUGCGCGAUUGAAUUAGCCGAUGUCGGAUUAGCUAGUUGGCGGGGUAAAGGCCCACCAAGGCAACGAUCCGUAGCUGGUCUGAGAGGAUGAUCAGCAACACUGGAACUGAGAAACGGUCCAGACUCCUACGGGAGGCAGCAGUGGGGAAUAUUGGACAAUGGGCGAAAGCCUGAUCCAGCAAUACCGCGGGGGUGAAGAAGGCCUUCGGGUUGUAAAGCCCUUUUGUUGGGAAAGAAAAGCAGCAGGUUAAUACCCCGCUGUUCUGACGGUACCAAAAGAAUAAGCACCGGCUAACUUCGU
rnacentral:rRNA from 1 species